UACGGAGGGUGCAAGCGUUAUCCAGAUUUAUUGGGUUUAAAGGGUCCGUAGGCGGACUAUUAAGUCAGUGGUGAAAGCCCCAAGCUUAACUUGGGAACUGCCAUUGAUACUGAUGGUCUUGAGUACAUUUGAGGUGGGCGGAAUGUGUCAUGUAGCGGUGAAAUGCUUAGAUAUGACACAGAACACCGAUUGCGAAGGCAGCUCACUAAACUGUAACUGACGCUGAGGCACGAAAGCGUGGGGAGCAAACAGG
rnacentral:rRNA from 1 species